UACAGAGGGUGCGAGCGUUGUCCGGAAUCACUGGGCGUAAAGGGCGCGUAGGUGGUGGCUUAAGCGUGCGGUGAAAGCUCGGAGCUCAACUCCGAGUCGGCCGUGCGAACUGGGCUCACUGGAGCAUAGUAGAGGCAGGUGGAAUUCCGGGUGUAGCGGUGGAAUGCGCAGAUAUCAGGAGGAACACCAAUAGCGAAGGCAGCUCGCUGGGACGUUACUGACACUGAGGCGCGAAAGCGUGGGGAGCGAACAGG
rnacentral:rRNA from 1 species